CCCUGUAAUUUAUGAACCUAAUAGGCACCCAAGAUGGGAGGGGAUAAGCUUGCAAAUUAUGAAAGAGCUCAGGAAAGCGAUUAUUGAAUUCGGGCUGGGCUCCCCCUGUACCAGUGAUCUGUCAAGUUCUGUUAUGAAAAGUUACACUCUUUGUCCUUGUGACUGCAAGACCUUGGCACAAUUGAUUUUAACAAGUACUCAAUAGAUGAUGUGGAUGUGCAGAUUCUUUCCAAAAGCCCAACAAAAGGCGCUGGAGUGGAAGCUAUUAGAGCUCAGCAACUCAAAGCAGAGCAUGCAGAACCUGAGCCUGUGGCUCAUUUACCCCUGCAAGAGAAGGAGGAUCAAACAUCCAGCACGUGGGAGCUGGAGCUGCAGAAAGCUGCUGCUGAGACGUAUGCUGCUGUUUGGACUCUCACUCAUUCCAGCUGUUGGCAUUGUUGCAAUGUAUUUUUCUGAACCUUUUAGCUGCUGUAGCUGUUAUUCAGUACUCCAGAAAAUUCUAAGACAGGCCUAACAACACUGUCUGCAUUCUAAAUUAGAGAACAGUGUUUGCUAUAAAAUGACAUGCAUUCUUGUGCAGUAGAUUGGCAAUGUAGGAAGUUUUCUCAUAUUUGGUUGCAUAAUCCAACUUAGCUAGCCAAACAUCUUCUGGUGUUUAAGAAUAUAAUGUAUAUAUUUACAACUGUAUGUCUUACCUGCACCUGCCUGGCUUUCAUAAUUCUGAAUAUGUAAUUUCAGUGUUUUAAAAAAUAAUAAUAGAUUUCCCUUCAAAACUAACAAAACAAAAAACAAAAAAGGGGGAGGGGGAGAUGCGCAGGUGUGACCCCUGAGAAAAGAAUAGCUAAAGCAUGAUAACGUGGGAAAGAGGUUAUGCUUCUGUUUCCUCAGGUGCUGAACCACAAUGGGUUCCAGCCGAAGUCAUAAUGCCCUGCUUGUCUGCACCAACAGCAUCUGCUGCUUCUUCAGAUCUGUGACAACCUUCUGGGUAUCCUCCCAGCCGAAGCCUACAGAGGCAACUGGAGAAAUAUCUCAGUGUCAAGCACUGUGACAACUACCUCAAAAAAUUUCUGAUUUGUGGGGCAAAAGCAACAGAGUCCGUCACUCUCCUGACGCAGCUAAUGAACAAGAACUCCGUAAGAGUAAAGGAAACAGGGAAGAGGCCUGCAGAGACACCAGAAACCACCCCCUGCCCCACCACACUCUGCUGAUCCUCCUCCCUUUACCCUGGGGCCUGAUGCUAGGAUCCAGGAGUCUCUUUAAAGCUCUGUGCAUAAAUGGAUUAGCUUUGGAAAGCACUUCAGAAGAAAAAGUAUUUGUCAUUUUUAAUAAUUUCCGAAGAAUUGUCCUGCAAUGCGGACAAGGGUCUGAUAAAAACAGGCAUUGCAGGUUCCUAUCUUUCUUGGGAUUAACUUACAAAGCACGAAAAUGCAGAACCAAAGGGUACCACCACUGCAGACUUUGCACCAACUUAAAAAAUCCUCUUCUUCCUCCAGAAUGAGGACUGAUGCCUAUAACAAUCUUUGAUCCACAGCUCGGUGUGCCCUCACACACGCUUGCCCAUUUUUGAUGGUUACAUCCAUCUUCAACAUUUCAUACUCUCUGAACAGUAAGUUAACACUUCAAUGAUUCAAACAUUCAACUUUUUUCUAUAAACCCUCUCAGGCUUUUCCUCACCAUACCUCUCCCAUCAGAACACAAGCACCUGAAAGAUACAGGCUAGGAAGGGCGCAGUGUGAUGUAUUUUAAGAAGUUUCCCCCAAUGCCCAAAACACACUGCAACAACUUUGUUACAGAUCCAUCUAAAAAUAUUUUCUCUGUCCAACGACAUCAGAUACAGUCAUAAACAUGUGAUUAACAACAAGAAUAAACAAGAAGCACAAACAUGUUUCUUUAAACUUUAUUUAAGCUGUUUGAUUCUUAAGUAUCAAGAGUUAGGGUGCCUCAUAGAAUACUAUUACCACAGGGCAAUGAAAUGGGCAUUUUCUUACUGCAGUUCAAGGUGUAUUCAAUGAGAAGUUUUUUAAAAUAAAAGUUUUAUUAUCAAUACUGUUGAGCACUUCAUCUGCUGACCUAUAACUCAAACAGUGGUUCUAAAGCACAAAAAAAAAAGCUCUGAAAUAAAGCUUUAUGUACAGCACAUGUAGAGCUCUUAGAUGCCUAAAGCUGUUAGUUUAUUAUCUCAAAUUAAACUAAUAUUCUGAAUUGCUCUUCAUAGUUGAGCAUACUAGGAAUUAAGCAUCCAGAUUACUCUUUUUUGGAGUAAAAAAAAAUUUAAAAGUUGUCUGCUUUAGUUAUAAAGAGCUCUGGCAAUAUACACCAACUAUUCACUUCAGACAUUCACAAAAAAUGUGAGCAAAAAAAGGGUUAUCAAAAAACAUUUAAUA